rnacentral:rRNA from 1 species
UACGGGGGGGGCAAGCGUUGUUCGGAAUUACUGGGCGUAAAGGGCUCGUAGGUGGCCAACUAAGUCAGACGUGAAAUCCCUCGGCUUAACCGGGGAACUGCGUCUGAUACUGGUUGGCUUGAGUGUGGGAGAGGGAUGCGGAAUUCCAGGUGUAGCGGUGAAAUGCGUAGAUAUCUGGAGGAACACCGGUGGCGAAGGCGGCAUCCUGGACCAACACUGACACUGAGGAGCGAAAGCCAGGGGAGCAAACGGG